ACCAUAGAGCAGACAACAGUCGAAGGCCACCAAUGGGUCUUCAAUGUAGCGAGAAUUGCCGCACCCGUAGGUGUCCUUCAGCUGGCCCCUAAAAAUAUAUAUAGUAGUACAGUGAUAAUGGACGUCAUACUUAACUCCGAAUUAUACACAAGAAACUAAAAAUAAAAAUCAUACAAGACUAACAAAGGCCAGAGGCUCCUGACUUGGGACAGGCGCAAAAUUGCGGCGGGGUUAAACAUGUUUAUGAGAUCUCAACCCUCCCCCUAUACCUCUAGCCAAUGUAGAAAAGUAAACGCAUAACAAUACGCACAUUAAAA
rnacentral:lncRNA from 1 species